rnacentral:rRNA from 1 species
UACAGAGGUCUCAAGCGUUGUUCGGAUUCAUUGGGCGUAAAGGGUGCGUAGGUGGCGCCGUAAGUCGGGUGUGAAAUUUCGGAGCUUAACUCCGAAACUGCAUUCGAUACUGCGGUGCUUGAGGACUGGAGAGGAGACUGGAAUUCAUGGUGUAGCAGUGAAAUGCGUAGAGAUCCGGAAGAACACCGGUGGCGAAGGCGGUUAGCUGGGGUCGGACUGACGCUGAGGCGCGACAGCGUGGGGAGCAAA